rnacentral:lncRNA from 1 species
GAAUUUGGCCAAUAGUAAAGAGGCAGCCAGCACAUUGUAGAGCCCUGCAUUUCCAGGAACAGAAAGUGAAAUAAAAGUUCAGUAGGCUUAUUUUCUGAGAAACACAGCCAUUGCCAGGAAGUGAAACUGAAAGACAUCAUGGCUAUUUAUUUUGUAUGCUUUGGGCAUCAUGAGUAAGGGUUGGACACAGGGACCCCAGCAGGAGGCUUCUCAGUGACCCCAAAAGGACACUCCAACCAGGCCCCAGGCUCCAGACAGAAAUUGAAUCCAGAAUCAGAGAACACAGACCUGAGUUUUGGAAAAACGACACUCAUGGCCCCCCUGUUAACCUUGAACAGCCCAAAUUCUAUGGAGAGUGAAGUCGAAUAAAGAGUGUAUCUCAUCUUUGUCCCUGGUUCCUGGUACAGAGCUUCAGAAAAUAUGGGAAUUUCCCGAGUUUACUUUGUUAUGCUUAUUCUUGAACAAAAGAUUCACAGCAACCAUAUUUUGGUUUUGAAAAAUAAAAAAGAAAACUUUACUUUUAUUAUAGAAACCUAAUAGAAACAGAAGAGGAAAGGAAUCUACACAUAGAUUGAGGUAAUAGUAGGCAAUAAAUAGGAAUGUGGCAAAGUUACAUCAAAUUGGAUACAUCUGGGGAAGCCCCAUGGAAACAGCCAUGUUAGAGUUCUGAUUGAGGGGCUUGGCAGAAUGUGCUCCCUCAGGUGAGACUUCCAACUGACUGUCCCCAUAAGGGCCAUAUUUAUAGGGCAAAUGACAGUGUUUGAAAUUAAACAUUUAUUUGCCUAGGUGCAGUUUAUAGGGAGCUGCAUUUCCAUGUCAUUUUGUUCCUAUAUUUUCUUUCUUUUUUUAUUAUUUAAAUUGAAUUAACCAACCUGGAGUACAUCAUUAGUUUCAGAUUUAGUGUUCAAUAAUUUAUCAGUUGUGUAUAACACCCAGUGCUCAUCCUAUCAUGUGCCCUCCUUAAUGCCCAUCACCCAAUUAAUACAUUCCCCUACCCAUCUUUCCUCCAGCAACCUUCAGUUUGUUUCCUAUAGUUAAUAGUCUCUAAUGCUUUUUUCUCCCUCUCUGAUGACUAUGUUUCUAUAUUUUCAAGGAGCCUGGAGUAUGUGUGCUUAUCUCCUCUCCUGGAUUUCAUUCCAUGUGGCCUGGCCAGCCUGCAGUAGGAGGGCAUUUGGGGGCAGUGAAGAAUGGGAUCUGAAGUUAACUGCUAACAGCCUAUGGGACGAAAAGUCACACAGGUGCCUGCUGAAUGUGUGAUUUCACUGUUUCUCUAGUUGAUAUAAAAGGCCAUGAGUAAGUCACACAUGAAUUUGAGCUCUGCAUGCUGUUCUCUAAUCCAAAGAAACUAUAUACUUAAAAAUAUCAGUAUGUUUAUUUGAUAUCAAAAAUACUGAUAUAUUUAAUAUAUAUAAAGUAUUUCAAGUAUUAAAUACUUAAAUAAGUAUUUAAAUAUAUAAAAUAUAAUUAAUAUUUUCAAUUAUAUAAAUAUACUAUAGGGACGCCUGGGUGGCUCAGCAGUUGAGCGUCUGCCUUCAGCUCAGGUCCUGAUCCCAAGGUCCCGA